GUUCAUGGAGGUUGUGGAGCCGAAAUAUGAUGUCCCCUCUCGAACCACAAUGGUGAGGACUGUGAUUCCGGAGGUGCACGACUCCGUUAAAAAACAUGUUAGCAGUUUGUUGUGUAACACUCCGGUCAUUAGCUUCACCACUGAUAUUUGGAGCAGCAGCGUGAGUGCUGUGUCUCUCAUCAGCCAGACAGCGCGUUGGAUAGAUGCUGAUUUCCAACUUCAUAGCAUCAUGCUGCACGCAAAAGAGUUCAGUGGCUCACACACAGGACAGGCGAUCGCAGAAAAGUUUGAGGAGAUGCUCAACACAUGGAAUAUUCCCAAAGAAGCCGUUCACGUUAUGCUAAGAGACAAUGCAAAGAACAUGAUUAAAGGUAUGGAUGAAGCUGAGCUUCCAAGCCUCCCGUGUGUCGCGCACACACUCCAGCUGACAGUGAAUGAAGGCCUGCUGGUUCAAAAGGCUGUUUCAGAUGCCGUGGCCAUAGGACGGAAAAUAGUCGGUCAUUUCCAAAAUUCCCCAUUGGCCUACUCGAAGCUUGAAGACAUCCAAACGGACAUGCACAAGCCUGUAAAAAGACUGGCACAGAACGUACCAACCCGCUGGAAUAGCACGCUGUAUAUGAUGCGCUCUCUCACUGAACAAAAGCAAGCCAUAGGAGUUUACGGGACAGAAAACAAGCUCCCCGAGAGCCUUAGUGUGAACCAGUGGAGUUUAUUCGAAAAGGCAAUCAAGCUUUUGGAACCCUUUGAGGAGCUGACCCGGCAGGUGAGCUCCACGGAUUCAUCAGCUGCAGAUGUGAUCCCUGCCAUCACCACGCUUCUUGAGGGUUUUAGAGGAGGAUUGUGAGGAGGACCGUGGGGUCGGAUCGAUGAAGCAUACCUUGCUACAGGUUGCUAGGAGGUGUUUUGCUGACAUCGAGAGAAAUCCACUGUACAGCUUUGCCUCCAUACUCGAUCCAAGGUAAUUGUUUUUCUUACUAAUUCAAAUGUUAGAAAUUUUUUUAAUUAAAUUACUAUUAGAGGUGCCUAACCUUAAUAUUACUCAAGUAAAGUAAAAAAUAUUUUGCAUUAACUACUCUCAGUUAAAAGUACAACCACCUGAAUUGUGAUGUGACACCUGAAUCACUUAUGUGGAUGUGGAGACUUUCUCAUUUGUUCUCUUUUCUUCUCUCUUUUGUAGAUACAAGGAUUGUUAUUUCUCAGAUGAAAGCACAGCAAGGGAGGCCAAAACGAUGCUUGUACAGGAGCUGCAGCAAACAUUUGCUGCAGAACCACAGGCAGAUGGAGAGGAACCACCUGCCCAAAAGCCACGGAGGGAGCAGCCCAGCAGCAGCAGCCGUCUCAACAGAAUGUCUGCUGAAAUAGCAGAGGGCCGUGCAUCAUCCUCACAUUGUACCGGGAGAAGUGCUCCAAUGAUCGCUGCUGCAAUGCAGCUGGAGACAUACCUUGCAGAACACUUACUCGAACGGGAUGCCAAUCCACUCAAGUACUGGGCAGAGGAGAGAGAAAAGUUUUCCUCUCUGGCCAAGUUAGCAAGAAAAUACCUCUCGGCACCAUGCAGCAGCGUCGAGAGUGAACGGCUCUUUAGUUCAGUUGCUCACAUUCUCGAUGACACAAGAAAUAGGCUCUCAGCUGAAAAUACAGAGAUGC